rnacentral:rRNA from 1 species
AGAGUUUGAUCCUGGCUCAGGACGAACGCUGGCGGCGUGCCUAAUACAUGCAAGUAGAACGCUGAAGGAGGAGCUUGCUUCUCUGGAUGAGUUGCGAACGGGUGAGUAACGCGUAGGUAACCUGCCUGGUAGCGGGGGAUAACUAUUGGAAACGAUAGCUAAUACCGCAUAAGAGUGGAUGUUGCAUGACAUUUGCUUAAAAGGUGCACUUGCAUCACUACCAGAUGGACCUGCGUUGUAUUAGCUAGUUGGUGGGGUAACGGCUCACCAAGGCGACGAUACAUAGCCGACCUGAGAGGGUGAUCGGCCACACUGGGACUGAGACACGGCCCAGACUCCUACGGGAGGCAGCAGUAGGGAAUCUUCGGCAAUGGACGGAAGUCUGACCGAGCAACGCCGCGUGAGUGAAGAAGGUUUUCGGAUCGUAAAGCUCUGUUGUAAGAGAAGAACGAGUGUGAGAGUGGAAAGUUCACACUGUGACGGUAUCUUACCAGAAAGGGACGGCUAACUACGUGCCAGCAGCCGCGGUAAUACGUAGGUCCCGAGCGUUGUCCGGAUUUAUUGGGCGUAAAGCGAGCGCAGGCGGUUAGAUAAGUCUGAAGUUAAAGGCUGUGGCUUAACCAUAGUAGGCUUUGGAAACUGUUUAACUUGAGUGCAAGAGGGGAGAGUGGAAUUCCAUGUGUAGCGGUGAAAUGCGUAGAUAUAUGGAGGAACACCGGUGGCGAAAGCGGCUCUCUGGCUUGUAACUGACGCUGAGGCUCGAAAGCGUGGGGAGCAAACAGGAUUAGAUACCCUGGUAGUCCACGCUGUAAACGAUGAGUGCUAGGUGNUGCGAUGCCUCAACCUUGAAUUGGUCGAAUUCUUUUUACAGUUUCACCAGCUAAACCAACUCAUUGUAGAUAUCGAUUCUACCCAUUUCACAACUUAUGGCAAGCAAGAAGGUGUUGCUUAUAACGCCCACUAUCGUGCUCAUGGCUAUCAUCCUCUUUAUGCUUUCGAGGGGAAGACAGGUUAUUGUUUCAAUGCCCAGCUUCGUCCUGGUAAUCGUUAUUGUUCUGAAGAGGCAGACAGCUUUAUCACACCUGUUUUAGAACGGUUUAAUCAACUUCUCUUUCGAAUGGAUAGUGGCUUUGCGACCCCAAAAUUAUACGAUUUAAUUGAAAAAACAGGGCAAUACUACCUCAUAAAACUCAAGAAAAAUACUGUUCUGAGCCGUCUUGGAGACCUUUCCCUCCCUUGCCCACAGGAUGAGGACUUAACCAUCUUGCCCCACUCCGCCUACUCAGAAACUCUCUAUCAAGCAGGAUCUUGGUCGCACAAGCGUCGUGUCUGCCAGUUCUCUG